UACAGAGGUGGCAAGCGUUGUUCGGAAUUACUGGGCGUAAAGGGCGCGUAGGCGGCCUUCUAAGUCAGACGUGAAAUCCCCAGGCUUAACUUGGGAACUGCGUCUGAUACUGGGAGGCUUGAGUGCGGGAGAGGGAUGUGGAAUUCCAGGUGUAGCGGUGAAAUGCGUAGAUAUCUGGAGGAACACCGGUGGCGAAGGCGGCAUCCUGGACCGACACUGACGCUGAGGCGCGAAAAGCUAGGGGAGCAAACGGG
rnacentral:rRNA from 1 species